GGUUUCUGAACGCAACACGAAGCGUAGCAUCAUGCCGCCAUCGAACUGACUUUCCGUCAGCAACAGGUAUUUCAGUUCGCCACGUUUUCGCGCCACGUUAUAAGGCGUGAGUCCGGCACGGGCAAUAUCGAAAUUCCUUGUCGGGUAAGUUCCGACCUGCACGAAUGGCGUAAUGAUGGCCAGGCUGUCUCCACCCGAGACUCAGUGAAAUUGAACUCGCUGUGAAGAUGCAGUGUACCCGCGGCAAGACGGAAA
rnacentral:rRNA from 1 species